rnacentral:lncRNA from 1 species
GAUGAGUGUAAUUUUAUUCCCACCAAGAUUUGAUAAUUUCGUGUUCAACUAAAACAAAUAGCAUACUGUUUAUCCGAAAAUACGAUAAUCUUUUCACAUAAAAUCAUGCUAUUAUAUCCGGUUACAUGUUAUUUUACCUGACAUUAAACUUCGUUCUUUUCUGAUGGUAUGUUGUCAUGCAGGCCUGGCAGUCAAAAUAUAACGCUUAAAAUAAUAAUAAAAAUAUGCAUUACAAAAGUGAAAUAUUUAUCAUCGAAUUAAGAAUGUAUGCCUGCCAAAAUUUUCUAACCUCAACGACUAUUUUUGCGGCUACGUGCUAGCCUAAAGAUCGUUACUACUACGUGCUAGCCUCAACGACCAUUCUUCAUUCUUCGCGCGCGCGUGAGACAAUUU